UUCUUGUGUUAACACAGUUUUAGUAUCAUACAUUGGUAUAUUACAGACAUUGUCACUUGCUGCAAUGUGGGAACAGGAAUGCAAAUAAAAUGCUAAAGAAAUUGUAACAGAUAUGUCCAACAAAGUAACAUUAAUGCUGUGUUGCAUUGGCUGAAGCAUAAUGAUGUGCCUCAAUCUUGCAAUGUACCUCCA